UACGUAGGGGGCGAGCGUUGUCCGGAUUUAUUGGGCGUAAAGAGCGUGUAGGCGGCCAGGUAGGUCAGCUGUGAAAACUCGAGGCUCAACCUCGAGAUGUCGGCUGAAACCAUCUGGCUAGAGUCCGGAAGAGGAGAAUGGAAUUCCCGGUGUAGCGGUGAAAUGCGCAGAUAUCGGGAAGAACACCCGUGGCGAAGGCGGUUCUCUGGGACGGUACUGACGCUGGAGACGCGAAAGCGUGGGAGCGAACAGG
rnacentral:rRNA from 1 species